UGAUUGACUCGUGGCGGUAAAAGAAGAAGAGAAGAUGAAAGUAGAGCAGACGCGAGCGAUUGAUAAGCCCUUGCUUCCUUUCUGUGUUCUUCUGAUUCAGUUGACUAUGGCUGUGGCUAUGGCGGACGCUACAGAAGCUGCCAAUUAAGCUUCCCUGCAGUGAACCCAUUUCUUCUCUUUCUCUGUUUAUGUGGAUUCUUGUAAUUCUGAUGCCAUAUUAUUCGCGUUAAGUCUUCAUGGAUGCUCGGCGAGGAUCCCGCGUCGUCAAACCCAAAGUUCGUCAGGUCGGAUUCUUCACCCUCGACGCUCCAAACCCCCCCGGACGCUCCCUAUCCGGUCCGGUCGGCUUUGGUUCUUCUCAACAAUCCCUCUCUCCUCCCACCGAUCCCUUGUCUCCGGUCAUGAUUCCUCCUCCUCGUCAUCUCUCCGAUAACUUUGCCUCACGCUCUACUAUUCUUCCUGUUCCGACUCCGGCCAAUUGGAGGAAUUCCGGUGAUCAGAUUCAUGUUGGCAGUUAUAACCCUUCCCAGACCCUGCUUGCGACUUCUCCUUCGAGUAGAAUUUGGGACGAUGAGCUGGAGAUGUCCGAGGAUUCUUCCACCUCCGUUCCGUAUCGCCGGAGUGGUUCCGGGAAGAUUGCGUCGAGCCUUCCUGGCCUUGGAGUCCACAUGGCGGCUAAGUCGUCUGAGAAUUCGCAGGCGGUGCCUCUCAGGACGCUGGGACCUAAUAAGCCUUCUGGAGUUGCAGAAAAUAAUGGAGGGGUGCCCACAGAGGUGCAAAAUCAACCACCGCCAUCAAGUUCAAAAUCCCUGAAGGCAAAAACAACGAAGGCUGAAAGACGGGCUCUGCAGGAGGCACAACGAGCAGCAAAAGUUUCUGCAAAAGGUGAGACGAAUAAGUCAGGUACUGCUCCUGGUAAAACUGUGAAGCAGCCUUCGGCUAUGAAAGAUAGCACUGCUGCACCUUCGGUUGCAUCUACUGAUAAAAGAGGAGGUGAUCGCACACUUGAUAAAGAAAGGAAGAAAGAUGCGCCCCAUCCACGAAUGCAGUUUGAUGAUAAAAAUAGGGUAGAAAAGGCUAAAAAACGAGCAGUUUUCAACCAAACUGAAGCUCGAAAUAGGGUUGAAUUAUUUCGCCAUUUGCCUCAAUAUGAGCAGGGAACUCAGCUUCCUGAUCUUGUGUCGAAGUUUUUCCAACUUGACACCAUUCAUCCUGCCAUUUACAAGGUUGGUUUACAAUAUAUGGCCGGAGAUAUAUGUGGAGGCAAUGCUCGCUGUAUUGCUAUGCUUCAUGCCUUUCAACAGGCCAUCAAAGACUACUCAACUCCGCCACAGAAAUCUCUGGGUAGAGAUUUAACUGCAAAAAUUGGUGGCUAUGUGUCAUUCUUCAACGAGUGCAGGCCACUGUCUGUUAGCAUGGGAAAUUCAAUUAGGUUUCUGAAGAACCGCAUUGCCAAAUUACCAGUGAAUCUUCUGGAAUCUGAAGUAAAAGCUACACUUUGCUCAGAUAUUGAUCGCUUUAUCAAUGAGAAGAUUAUCAUUGCAGAUGAGGUCAUAGUUAGACAUGCUGCUACUAAAAUCAGGGAUGGAGAUGUUCUUCUCACAUAUGGAUCAUCAUGUGCUGUAGAGAUGCUUCUAUUAUAUGCACAUGAACUCGGAAAAGAAUUCCGUGUUGUGGUGGUGGAUUCCCGACCAAAACUGGAAGGGCAAGCAUUGCUUCGUAGGCUAAUAGCAAGCGGCCUAAAGUGUACCUACACUCAUAUAAAUGCUAUUUCUUACGUGAUGCACGAAGUAACACGAGUUUUUCUGGGGGCUGCUGCAGUAUUGUCUAAUGGAACUGUAUAUUCUAGAGUGGGAACUGCAGGUGUUGCCAUGGUUGCUAAUGCAUUCCAUGUGCCAGUCUUAAUCUGCUGCGAAGCCUAUAAAUUUCAUGAAAGGGUACAGCUUGACUCAAUAUGUUUCAAUGAAUUAGGUGAUCCAGAUGCUAUCUCAAAGGUCCCAGGAAGGAAGGAUGUUAAUUAUCUAGAUAAUUUGACUGCUAAAGAACAACUGCAAUGUCUAAAUUUAAUGUAUGAUGCUACACCUUCAGAUUAUGUCUCAAUGAUUGUCACAGAUUAUGGCAUGGUAAGCUUUGCUCAAUCACUAUUACUCUCUUUCUGUCUCAGGCACUUGUUUAGAUACAUAUUAUAAUCAGUUAUUGUACCUCAAAGGGGUUAAGUUUUGAGUUUUGGCUUCUUUGUCGAAGGAAGCCGAAACUCAUGAGAUUGAUGCUUCUGAUCCUUGGCUCAUUCAGAUGAAGGUUGAAAUUGAGAUAAUUAGGUGGUCAAGCAUCUAGGUUCUUUAUUGUUGACUUCUUCUUUUCACGUUGGAAAGCAAACCACCUUUUGGGAUAUAAGUUCUGUUUGGUUAAACAAACUACGCUCUAAUCCUUUCACUGUUAUAAGAUCAUACUCAUGUCCAUUAUGAAUGCCACUUUGCACUGUCGUCUAUACUCUUAUUUGGGUUUUGCAGUCUUGAGUGAAACUUGUUUUCUUAUUGUUC